rnacentral:rRNA from 1 species
CCGACGGGUGAGUAACACGUACCCAACCUGCCGUCUACUUUUGGACACCCUUCUAAAAGGAAAGAAAUAACAAAGAGUGGCAUCAUGAGUCCACAUGUUCACAUGAUUAAAGGUAUUCCGGUAGACGAUGGGGAUGCGUUCCAUUAGAUAGUAGGCGGGGUAACGGCCCACCUAGUCUUCGAUGGAUAGGGGUUCUGAGAGGAAGGUCCCCCACAUUGGAACUGAGACACGGUCCAA